ACCAUCAUCUCAUCAAUUCCUCUGAGUUAACACCUUGUUUCAAGUCUAAUUCUCCAGAGUUUCCCAAUAUCUGUCAUUCUCUACACUCUUGUUAUCUUCCCAUUAGAUUGCAAUUUACCAAAGGCAUGGGGCACCCUUUCUUAUUUAUAUCCCUAACACUUGGCAUAAUGCUUCUCAUAUAGCAGAUAGAACCAGAAAAUGUGCUUCUGGAAGAGGAACAAAAGUUGUGAGUGCAGGGAGACACAAAGGAGCUAGUCCAAAACAAGAAACAAAGAGGGAAGUGGCGAAGCUGGCCCAGUAAGCAGACUCGAGGGAAACAAAGGGAGAGCCCAGGCUGAGCCUUUGAUAUCUUAGUGGAGUCUCCAGCUAAGUCUUCUCCCUGCCGAGCAUCCCCAUCACUUCAGACAGGGUUACACCACAGAGUGGAAAUAUCACCGACCCUGGAGUAAAGGGACUUGGGCCAGAUCCUGCCCAUGGUUCACAGCCAGCCUCUUCACCUCCAGAACUCAGAGUCCUCAUCUGUUCUUCACAGAUGAGAAAAUGGCCUCGUGACUUUGUGCUUUGUUCAGGUAGGAUGAGCGCAGAAUCAGCAAGCUGAGAGCUGGAAGGGACUGGUAGGUCACAGGGCCGCAGAUUGGGAGCCAUCGAGCUGCCCUGAUUUUACAAAGGAGAAACUGAGAACUGGCCAGGGCAAGUGAAUUGCUCACAGUGACAUGUCUAAUAAAGAGGAAAACUGGAAUUUAA